CCCGCCCGCGUCCGUCUCCGGUCCGAGGGACUCGUUUCCUCGCGUGCAGCGAGCCCAAUGGCAGAGCCUUCGCGAAGCAUUCAUUUUUACGAGUUUGGAUGGACAGCCUAUCAGCCAAAAUUUCUUGCUCUGAUUCUCAUUGGACAGAGAAACAGGUCUGGUGUAGCAGACCAGUGAACUUCAGCACCCAGGAUCAGGACUGGGGAUGAAAUUAAGGAAGAAAGGAGGCAGAAUGCUGGUAGUGAGAUAAAGAUCAACAGAGUGUCCUUCCGAGACAGCGCCUGUGAUCUGGGAGAAACCUGGGGCUACGUACACCCACUCUGGAAUUCACCAUUCCAAAACAGGAGAAUCAAGAAGUAAAGAUUUGUCUGUGUGCAAUACUAUAAAACACAUCGUUUUGCGCUGUACGAUAUUACCACGAGCACUUACUUACUAGUAACUGCAGCAGGCUGUUGCAAAUGACUGUAGGUGAGUGUAAAUCCAAAGGUGCCCCUGUGGACUUACACUCACAUUCAGGGCCAUCUUCUUCACUCAUUCACUUUCAAAGGUGUUUCCUGAUGUGAGAGAGCAGGAGGGAAUCAAAACUCAUAUCCAGCCGAAACCGGUUUGGCUCAGUGGAUAGAGCGUCAGCUUGCGGAUUCAAGGGUCCCGGGUUCGAUUCCGGUCAAGGGCAUGUACCUUGGUUGCAGGCACAUCCCCAGUAGGGGGUGUGCAGGAGGCAGCUGAUCGAUGUUUCUCUCUCAUCGAUGUUUCUAACUCUCUAUCCUUCUCUCUUCCUCUCUGUAGAAAAUCAAUAAAAUAUAUUAAAAAAAAA